CAUUGGCCUCUGGUUUCAAAGCACUGAAAUUCUCCAGCUUUUCAGCCAUGUUUUCUAUAGCUGACAUCUGCAAUGGAAGAUGCACAACAGCCGGCACGGAUUUUGCAGAGGAGAAUUGAAGAAUGAAUCUUCUCUCAUGUACUGUGCUAUAGGUCAGUACCAACCCCUCUAUGCCACCAGAACUACAUCAGUCCUGAAACAGGAUCAUUCACUCGAUGGAGAGGAAUCAGCUCAGUUUUACACCCGGGGACACAAAGACAAUUCAGGUCCCAUUUGGGCACUGGUACAUUAGUCCUGUCUGCAACAAGAUGGGAAUUUUCACUUGUCACUUCGCAAAUCUGGCAAAAAAACAUAACUCAGCACAAGGUGCUGAGCUGCUAUUAAAUCUUGUACAUAAAUUCUCUACAAUUUUAAUACUUAAUAGACCCUUCACUUCCUAUGGGCACUGGAACUAAAAAGAGCUGUUUUGCGGCACUCUCAUCUCAUGGAAGAACAUUUGGACUGCAUACCUGCAACUAUAUUUCCCAUCAGCUGUCCUUCCCAGGUCUCCAUAAGUCCCAUAUUUCAGUAAAUAUUCCACACAACUUAAGACAUUACAACUAUUGUUCUCAUUGAAAGAAAAAAAAAAAAAAAAAA